CUACGGGCGGCAGCAGUCGGGAGUUUUCUGCAAUGCGCGCAAGCGUGACAGAGCGAACCAGAGUGCUUCUCAUAGAGAAGCUUUUGCCGAAUCCAAAAAGUCCGGCGAAUAAGGACUGGGUAAGACUAGUGCCAGCCGCCGCGGUAAUCCUAGCGGUCCAAGUCGCAGCCAACAUUAUUAGGUCUAAGACAUCCGUAGCUUGCUUUGUAAGUCUCUUGUGAAAUCCGGCCUCUUAAGGGUCGGGCGGGCAGGAGGUACCGCGGAGCUAGAGAUUGGGAGACGUAAGGAGUACGGUCAAAGUAGUGGUUAAAUACGUUAAUCUUGGCCGGACUAACAACAGCGAAGGCACCUUACGAGAACAGUUCUGACAGUAAGGGAUGAAAGCUAGGGGCGCAAAACGGAUUAGAUACCCCCGUAGUC
rnacentral:rRNA from 1 species